rnacentral:piRNA from 1 species
UNGAACAUGGACCUAACUGGAACACUUGC